rnacentral:rRNA from 1 species
GAGCCUUUGCGGCAUGGGAUGGGGUCGCGUCCUAUCAGCUUGAUGGCGGGGUAACGGCCCACCAUGGCUUCGACGGGUAGCCGGCCUGAGAGGGCGACCGGCCACAUUGGGACUGAGAUACGGCCCAGACUCCUACGGGAGGCAGCAGUGGGGAAUAUUGCACAAUGGGCGCAAGCCUGAUGCAGCGACGCCGCGUGAGGGAUGGAGGCCUUCGGGUUGUAAACCUCUUUUGUUAGGGAGCAAGGCACUUUGUGUUGAGUGUACCUUUCGAAUAAGCACCGGCUAACUACGUGCCAGCAGCCGCGGUAAUACGUAGGGUGCAAGCGUUAUCCGGAAUUAUUGGGCGUAAAGGGCUCGUAGGCGGUUCGUCGCGUCCGGUGUGAAAGUCCAUCGCUUAACGGUGGAUCCGCGCCGGGUACGGGCGGGCUUGAGUGCGGUAGGGGAGACUGGAAUUCCCGGUGUAACGGUGG